rnacentral:rRNA from 1 species
GAAGUUUUCGGAUGGAUUUUUCAAUACUUAGUGGCGGACGGGUGAGUAACGCGUGGGUAACCUGCCUCACACAGGGGGAUAACAGUUGGAAACGACUGUUAAUACCGCAUAAGACCACAGUACCGCAUGGUACAGGGGUAAAAACUCCGGUGGUGUGAGAUGGACCCGCGUCUGAUUAGUUAGUUGGCGGGGUAACGGCCCACCAAGACGACGAUCAGUAGCCGAUCUGAGAGGAUGACCGGCCACAUUGGGACUGAGACACGGCCCAAACUCCUACGGGAGGCAGCAGUGGGGAAUAUUGCACAAUGGGGGAAACCCUGAUGCAGCGACGCCGCGUGAGUGAAGAAGUAUUUCGGUAUGUAAAGCUCUAUCAGCAGGGAAGAAAAUGACGGUACCUGAGUAAGAAGCCCCGGCUAACUACGUGCCAGCAGCCGCGGUAAUACGUAGGGGGCAAGCGUUAUCCGGAUUUACUGGGUGUAAAGGGAGCGCAGACGGCGCAGCAAGUCUGAAGUGAAAGCCCGGGGCUUAACCCCGGGACUGCUUUGGAAACUGCUGUGCUUGAGUAUCGGAGGGGCAGGCGGAAUUCCCAGUGUAGCGGUGAAAUGCGUAGAUAUUGGGAAGAACACCAGUGGCGAAGGCGGCCUGCUGGACGAUAACUGACGUUGAGGCUCGAAGGCGUGGGGAGCAAACAGG